rnacentral:rRNA from 1 species
AUUGAACGCUGGCGGCAGGCCUAACACAUGCAAGUCGAACGGUAACAGGAAGAAGCUUGCUUCUUUGCUGACGAGUGGCGGACGGGUGAGUAAUGUCUGGGAAACUGCCUGAUGGAGGGGGAUAACUACUGGAAACGGUAGCUAAUACCGCAUAACGUCGCAAGACCAAAAAGGGGGACCUUCGGGCCUCUUGCCAUCGGAUGUGCCCAGAUGGGGUUAGCUAGUAGGUGGGGUAACGGCUCACCUAGGCGACGAUCCCUAGCUGGUCUGAGAGGAUGACCAGCCACACUGGAACUGAGACACGGUCCAGACUCCUACGGGAGGCAGCAGUGGGGAAUAUUGCACAAUGGGCGCAAGCCUGAUGCAGCCAUGCCGCGUGUAUGAAGAAGGCCUUCGGGUUGUAAAGUACUUUCAGCGGGGAGGAAGGGAGUAAAGUUAAUACCUUUGCUCAUUGACGUUACCCGCAGAAGAAGCACCGGCUAACUCCGUG